CGGCAGUUUUGCCAACUGCUGCAGAUUACUAACAUAUAGCGUUGCCUUAGCAUUGCGGUUUUUCAUUAAUUGGAGCAUUUUUAUAGCAGCGGUUUGUGAAACUGCCGGGAAUUAUAUAUAAGAUUUGAAAUAUGGUUGCGGGUUUCAUUCGCUAAAUUCAGACGAACCCUAAUCCUAAAUCAUUCCAGGUAAUGCGCUUUUGAAGAUGAUGUAGCCAUUGAUCCUUGUAAUUGGUUUUAUAGAACCGCAAAAGAUUUUAGAAGUGUGACAUAUUAGACAUAUUUACUUCAUUCUCUAAUCUGUCAAGGGAUCUCAAUUUCAUUGAACCUACACGAAUCGCUGGACUACUCAACGAAGGACACUUCCUACAUCUCUUAAGUUUACUGUGUGAACUGAUCUGCAAGCUGGAGUCAACCACAGAUAUUAGGUGAGGCAAUUAAGUCACAUACCAAGAGCAGAAACCAAAUCUAGAAGUCUAAACAAGUUAACCAAUGCAUUGAUUUAGUUUUGUUAUUCUAAAUAAAUCGUAAGAGCAUCUCCAAUGGUAGUAUUUAAUGUUAAAUACAUACUCAUAUGAGUAUCUUUUACCAUUGGAGUACAUAUUCAAUUCCAACAUGGCAAAGAUGAGUAUGUGGGAAUAGAUACUCCACACUAGACUUGAAAAGUGAGCUUGUAUUUAUUACAAGCACUUACCAUUAAGAGCAUCUACCUCCAUCAUAUUUAAGUUGCAAAUAUAAUUAAUUAAAAUGGAUAUAAAUAAUAAAAUAUAUAAAUGUGAAGUUGAUUGUGAGAUCCACUGUAGAAACUUUUAAGAGUUGUUGGGUUGAAGUAAAAAGUUAGUAAAAUGUUGUAGAUGAUGUGGCUUAUGGGGAAUUGUAAAAAAUGAAGUGUAAAUAUUUUAGUGAGUAUGAUGGAUGUAGAUGCUCUAAGUAUUGAAUCAGUGAAUCUAGUAAUGUGAUUU